rnacentral:rRNA from 1 species
AACGAACGCUGGCGGCAUGCCUAACACAUGCAAGUCGAACGAGAUCUUCGGGUCUAGUGGCGCACGGGUGCGUAACGCGUGGGAAUCUGCCCUUUGGUUCGGAAUAACAGUUGGAAACGACUGCUAAUACCGGAUGAUGACGAAAGUCCAAAGAUUUAUCGCCAGAGGAUGAGCUCGCGUAGGAUUAGCUAGUUGGUGUGGUAAAGGCGCACCAAGGCGACGAUCCUUAGCUGGUCUGAGAGGAUGAUCAGCCACACUGGGACUGAGACACGGCCCAGACUCCUACGGGAGGCAGCGGUGGGGAAUAUUGGACAAUGGGCGAAAGCCUGAUCCAGCAAUGCCGCGUGAGUGAUGAAGGCCUUAGGGUUGUAAAGCUCUUUUACCCGGGAUGAUAAUGACAGUACCGGGAGAAUAAGCUCCGGCUAACUCCGUGCCAGCAGCCGCCGUAA